rnacentral:rRNA from 1 species
AACGUAGGUUCCGAGCGUUAUCCGGAUUUACUGGGCGUAAAGCGCGUUCAGGCGGUUUGGCAAGUCGGGCAUGAAAUCUCUCGGCUCAACCGGGAGAGGUUGUCCGAUACUGCUGGACUUGAGGGCAGUAGAGGGUGGUGGAAUUCCGGGUGUAGUGGUGAAAUGCGUAGAUAUCCGGAGGAACACCAGUGGCGAAAGCGGCCACCUGGACUGCACCUGACGCUGACACGCGAAAGCAUGGGGAGCGAACAGG